UGAAGGUGAAGUCGUAACAAGGUCUCCGUAGGUGAACCUGCGGAGGGAUCAUUACACAAUAUGAAA
rnacentral:rRNA from 1 species